rnacentral:lncRNA from 1 species
AAACCCAAAACAAUGGGAGUGACAUGCAAACCGGAACCCAAAACAAUGGGAGUGAUGUGCUUAAACCGGAACCCAAAACAAUGGUAGUGACCCGCUAAAGCAGAAACCCAAAACAAUGGGAGUGUCCUGCUAAACCAGAAACCCAAAACAAUGGGAGUGACGUGUAAAACCAGAAACCCAAAACAAUGGGAGCGUCCUGCUAAACCAGAAACCCAAAACAAUGAGAGUGACAUGAUAAACCAGAAACCCAAAACAAUGGGAGUGACGUGCUAAAACCUGGAAACCCAAAACAAUGGGAGUGAGGUGCUAAAACCAGAUACACAAAACAAUGGGAGUGACGUGCUAAAACCAGAACCCAAAACAAUGUGAGUGACGUGCUAAACCAGAACCCAAAACAAUGGGAGUGACGUGCUAAAACAGGAACCCAAAACAAUGAGAGUGACGUGCUAAACCAGAAACCCAAAACAAUGGGAAUGACGUGCUAAAACCGGAACCCAAAACAAUGGUAACUAAGAGUGAUGCUAAGGCCCUACAUUUUGGUCACACUCUCAACUAAGUGAGAACUUGACUGAAAAGGAGGAUUUUUUUUUUCUAAGACAGAGUUUUGGUCUGUCCCCCAGAGUGGAGUGCAGUGGCAUGAU